rnacentral:rRNA from 1 species
UACGUAGGUGGCAAGCGUUGUCCGGAUUUACUGGGCGUAAAGGGCGUGCAGGCGGUUUGUUAAGUGCAGGGUGAAAGCUCCCGGCUCAACUGGGAGAGGUCCUUGCAUACUGGCAAACUUGAGGGAGGCAGAGGAAAGUGGAAUUCCCGGUGUAGUGGUGAUAUGCGUAGAUAUCGGGAGGAACACCUGUGGCGAAGGCGGCUUUUUGGUCUGUAACUGACGCUGAGGCGCGAAAGCGUGGGGAGCAAACAGG